CCAGGCCUUACUUUGCUCUUUUGUGUGGUUACACUUUCUUAUCAAAGGAAAACAGGGGCCUCAUUGAGCUCUAUGUGUCAGUUAAACUAGAGAAAGGGAGUGUGGUCCCCCCUCAUUUAUUCUUUUUUUCCCUUUUUUUGAUGAAAAGGUCAACAAAAAAAAAAUGUUUGCUCAGAGAGAAAGGAUAUUAUGUAAAUAAUUAGCCCAUUCCAAGAUUAUGUUGUGCAUAUAUAUAGUACAGUAGAGAGCUGAAAGAGGACUAGCAUUUGCAGCAGGACUGGACAGUUUAUGACUUUGAGAAGUAGGAACUCUCUGUAGCUCUGCUUAUCUGGAAUGCAUGCAGAAUGGCUUGUACUGGCUUAAUGGAAUGAGGCCCCCAGCCUCGAUCUAGAUCUUCAACUUGGGAAGAAUCAGGAAUCGGUGAAGGAGGUCUCAACUGCUAUUGCCAUACUGAACGGAACAGAAUCUCUUCAUCGAUUAACAAGGAGGCUGUGUUACCUAAUUAGGCUCAGCUACAGCUUUCUCAUCUAUGCUUUGGGUCUUCUGAGAUUGUCCGAAGCAUCGAAAGGGUUGUCCUCUCCUGCCAGAGAAGACAGUGCUGAUAUCGAAGGCCAACGAAGACUGAAAACUGGGUCAUCCAUCAGUGUUUCGAGGGCAUCCAGAGUCGUAGAUUUGGCACUGCAUCCGUGAGCCAGCCGCCAGUGAGAACAGGUGUCUGACACCCCCCCCCCCNCCACCUUGUCCACGGCCUCCUGGACCUGCGCCGUCCCUAAACUCUUCCAGGUAUCCUUGGGGUCUAAUGUCAGUUUCAGUUCCCAGACCUGUUGCUUGAUACCCUCCCUCCUUCAAGGAGGAGCUUUUUGCUAGCCUCAGCUCAACUCACACUGGCCCUCUGGGAUCACUUCUGCUCUCUCUGCUCCAGGUCAACUCAUCACCCGAUCCCGAAUUGAAAGCACAGAACAUUUGGAGAGGGAGGAAUCAUGGAAAAGGACAUUGUAAGUCACAAGGAGGCUCUGGUGAGCCAAGCAAGCAACACAGACCCAGGCACCGCAGCAGCAGAGGCAGGACCCCUGCCCGAGGCCAGCUCUUUCCUGCUGGCAACCUGCAGUGCUCUAUUGCAAUCGUUGGGAGCCCUUACCCUCAGGGUGCAGGUCUCAAGCAGGAACUUGCAUCACAGUCACCUUGAGGGCUUGUUUGUUUUGUUUUGGUUUGCCUUUUUUGUAUAUUUUUUUAAUUGGAGUUUGACUUCCCAGCAUAUAGUAUAAUACCCAGUGCUCAUUAAAAACAGAUUCCUGGUGCAGUCCCCAAAGUUUCUGAUUCAGGUGGUCUGUGUGGGGUCAGAAAUGUGCAUUUCAUUUUUAAAAUUUU
rnacentral:lncRNA from 1 species